rnacentral:tRNA from 1 species
GAAGGUUAGUUUAAGUUAAAACGUUAGUGUGUGGUGCUAAAAUUAAUAAAAAUUUAUCUUCU